CCUACGGGAGGCAGCAGUGAGGAAUAUUGGUCAAUGGGCGAGAGCCUGAACCAGCCAAGUCGCGUGAGGGAUUACUGCCCUAUGGGUUGUAAACCUCUUUUGUCGGGGAGCAAAAGCCGGACGUUUCCGGCUGUGAGAGUACCCGAAGAAAAAGCGUCGGCUAACUCCGUGCCAGCAGCCGCGGUAAUACGGAGGAUGCGAGCGUUAUCCGGAUUUAUUGGGUUUAAAGGGUGCGCAGGCGGAUUUUUAAGUCAGCGGUAAAAUCGUGGGGCUCAACCCCAUCCAGCCGUUGAAACUGGGGAUCUAGAGUGUGCGAGAGGUAUGCGGAAUGCGUGGUGUAGCGGUGAAAUGCAUAGAUAUCACGCAGAACCUCGAUUGCGAAGGCAGCAUACCGGUGCACAACUGACGCUCAGGCACGAAAGCGUGGGUAUCGAACAGGAUUAGAUACCCCUGUAGUC
rnacentral:rRNA from 1 species